ACUUAGAAAUGUUCUUUUUUUUUGUUGAGAAUUUAUGUUUAUACCAUCAUGAAAGCUGAAACUUAUGAACUAUUUUAUACUAUGCUUUGGUGAUUUGGAGACAGUACUCAUUAAGAGACUGGAUCAAGAUGAAGUUAUGUUAGUGUACUUGUCAUUUUGAAUACCAAAGGUACCAGGUAUGGGAAUGUUACCUACAUAUGUCAUUUUCCAGAUCUGUGAAGCACACAAGAAGACUGUUUAUGAUAUGGGUGUCUGAGUUGAGAAGAGGGUAUGGGGUCUCAAACUCAGACACAUGGGUUUUCCCUGGAUGCUCUAGUUUCCUCCCAAACCAACCCUUUUUUCUCUAAUGUAACAAUUGAGACAAUUAUCUUUGAAGGUAUUUUAAUGUAAAUAUUUUUUUUAUCUAAUAAUAAAUUGUUAAUUUUGCUCUAAGGUUUUUUAUGCUGCUAUUACAAUUAAUUUCUGAAAUUUUAACAAAUUUUAAAAUAUGUUGCAGAUGUAAUUAUUGUUCAAUAUUAAAUUAAUAUUUCUGGAAUGUACAAAUUCUGUCAGAAGUUGUACCAGUUAUAAUUUGUAUAAUUUAGUAAAUUCUGAUUAUUUACUAAUUGUGCACUUAAAUAAAUGUAUUAUAUACUGAUGUAACUAAAUAUGCAGUAAAAGUAAUUAAUUUUUAA